GACGAACGCUGGCGGCGUGCUUAACACAUGCAAGUCGAGCGGUAAGGCCCCUUCGGGGGUACACGAGCGGCGAACGGGUGAGUAACACGUGAGCAAUCUGCCCAUCACAUCGGGAUAACUCCGGGAAACCGAAGCUAAUACCGAAUACGACCACCUCCGGCAUCGGAUGAUGGUGGAAAGUUCCGGCGGUGAUGGAUGAGCUCGCGGCCUAUCAGCUUGUUGGUGGGGUAACGGCCCACCAAGGCUUCGACGGGUAGCCGGCCUGAGAGGGUGACCGGCCACACUGGGACUGAGACACGGCCCAGACUCCUACGGGAGGCAGCAGUGGGGAAUAUUGGACAAUGGGCGAAAGCCUGAUCCAGCAACGCCGCGUGAGGGAUGACGGCCUUCGGGUUGUAAACCUCUUUCAGCAGGGACGAAGCGCAAGUGACGGUACCUGCAGAAGAAGCACCGGCCAACUACGUG
rnacentral:rRNA from 1 species